rnacentral:lncRNA from 1 species
CCAGAAGGGCUGGGAAGAGGAGGAGGAACCCUCCAAACCUGGAAUUGCGAGGGAAGAGUGUGCAGCCCACCCUGCUCCGAGGCACUGCUGAGUGAAGGAACUGCGGGAUGCACAUCUCAGGUAAACAAGAUGUCAAGAGCACAUUGCACCUGGGCAAAAACCUUUUAAUUUCUCCACUUUGUUUAUAACCCCCUUGCACCAUCUCUCUAAGAAGAGCAAUAAGACCAUUUUAUUGGUGAAUAUG